CUGGAAGUGAUGACAGCUUUGAGCAUUGACACUUAAUGAUGUUUGCUAGUAUUCGUACUGUCUGAUCCGG
rnacentral:snoRNA from 13 species